GUUGGUGAGGUAACGGCUCACCAAGGCUACGAUGGAUAGGGGAACUGAGAGGUUUAUCCCCCACACUGGAACUGAGACACGGUCCAGACUCCUACGGGAGGCAGCAGUGAGGAAUAUUGGUCAAUGGAGGCAACUCUGAACCAGCCAAGUCGCGUGAAGGAUGAAGGUCUUAUGGAUUGUAAACUUCUUUUGUAAGGGAAUAAAGUGAGCCACGUGUGGUUUUUUGCAUGUACCUUACGAAUAAGGAUCGGCUAACUCCGUGCCAGCAGCCGCGGUAAUACGGAGGAUCCGAGCGUUAUCCGGAUUUAUUGGGUUUAAAGGGUGCGCAGGCGGGAUGUUAAGUCGGCGGUGAAAUUUUGCGGCUCAACCGUAAAAGUGCCUUCGAAACUGGCAUUCUUGAGUAUGGAUGAAGUAGGCGGAAUUUGUGGUGUAGCGGUGAAAUGCUUAGAUAUCACGAGGAACUCCGAUUGCGCAGGCAGCUUACUAAACCAUAACUGACGCUCAUGCACGAAGGCGUGGGGAUCAAACAGGAUUAGAUACCCUGGUAGUCCACGCAGUAAACGAUGAUUACUAGUUGUUUGCGAUACACAGUAAGCGACUGAGCGA
rnacentral:rRNA from 1 species